UACGUAGGGGGCAAGCGUUGUCCGGAAUCAUUGGGCGUAAAGCGCGCGUAGGCGGCCCGGUAAGUCCGCUGUAAAAGUCCAGGGCUCAACCCUGGAAUGCCGGUGGAUACUGUCGGGCUAGAGUCCGGAAGAGGCGAGUGGAAUUCCUGGUGUAGCGGUGGAAUGCGCAGAUAUCAGGAAGAACACCAACGGCGAAGGCAGCUCGCUGGGACGGUACUGACGCUGAGACGCGAAAGCGUGGGGAGCGAACAGG
rnacentral:rRNA from 1 species